GGAGGCCUGGGGAACAAUGAGUAAGGCAGAGAGGGAACAGAGGCUUGUAGGCCACUGUGCGGACUUUGGCGUUUAGUCUGAGCUGGGGACCCACUGGAGGAUUCUGAGCAGAGCAGUGACAUGAUUGCGCUUACAUUUUUAAGACUUACUCUGGCUGCUGUGUUGAGAACAGAUGACCAUGGGGCAUAGACAGAAGCAGAAAGGUGAGUUGGAAGCUAUUCCAGUAAAGCAGGCCAGAGAUGGAGGAGGUCUGAACCAGGUGAUAGAGGGAAGAGUUAGAAAAAAGUGUCUGGAUUCUGGAUAUGUUCUGAAGGUAUGUUGUGCCGAAGGCUAGAUGUGUGGUAUGGGAGAAAGAGCAAGGUCAAGUACGACUUCAGGGCUUUUUUUUUUUUUUGAGACAGUUUCACUCUUGUUGCCCAGGCUGGAGUACUAUGGUUCGAUCUUGGCUCAUCACAACCUCUGCCUUCUGGGUUCAAGCGGUUCUGCCUCAGAUUCCUGACUAGCUGGGAUUACAGGCAUGUGCCACCACACCCAGCUAAUUUUGUAUUAGUAGAGAUGGGGUUUCUCCAUGUUGGUCAGGGUGGUCUCCAACUCCCAACCUCAGGUAAUUCUGCCCGCCUCGGGCUCCCAAAGUGCUGGGAUUACAGGUGUGAGCCACUGCACCCAGCUGAGGGCUUCUGACCUGAGUAACUGGGAGGACAGGCUUGGAGGGUAAAAGAAGAAUCAUAUCUUAGACAUGUUAAUUUUGAGAUACUCAGCCAUGUAGAUGGACUUGUUGAGUAAACAGCUGGAUAACCAAAUUGAGAAUUUAGGAAAGAGGUCCAGGCUGGAGAUGGAAAUCCAGGAAUCUUUGGUUGUAGACUGUGCAAGCUACAAGACUGACAGAAGCUCAUUUAGGCCUAGGGAGUGUAGCUAUAGAAGAAGACAUCCACAAAGCUGAGUGCUCAUCACUGGGGCCCUCCAACCAGGGACCAAGGAGGUAAAGAGAUGGAGCAGAGUCCAAUGAGAGGGGAGAAAAACCAAGAGAGUCCAACUGAAGAAAGUUUCAGGAAGGACGCAACUGUGCCAAAUGCUGAUGAGUCUAGAAAUGAGAUCAUACUGUUUUGCAACUACUUUUUUCCCUUUAGCUACAUAAUAAAUAUGAAAUCUUAACAGAUAGUAUGAAGUUUUAAUAGAUGCAGGGAAUUUUUGCCAUUAUAAACAAUUCAGCAUCUUUGUAGCUCUAAGUACGUCCCUAAUAAUUUACUUUUAUUAUUAAAUAUUAUAAAUGGACAAAUUAUAAUUUUAUAUAAGGUACAAAGCAAUAUUUUCUCUCUAUAUAUACAUAUACACACACACACACGAGUGAAAUGAUUAAAUCAACAUAAUUAACAUCUAUCACCUUAAAUACUUAUCAUUUUGUGUGGUGAGAACAUUUAAAAUUUACUCUUUUAGCAAUUUGGAAAUACGCAGUCCACCAUUAUUUAUUUAUUCAUUUAUUUUGAGACAGGGUCUCACUCUGUCAUCCAGGCUGGAGUGCAAUGGCACUAUCUCGGCUCACUGCAACCUCCACCUCCUGGGCUCAAGUGAUCCUCCUUCCUCAGCCCCCCAAGUAGCUGGGACUACAGGUUGGCUGGAGGAAACGGAGAGAAAAUUUACAUCUGGUGGAGCAUAAAGAAACCAGCUAGAGGACUGGCCUUGUCAUUAUCUAACUGUGUUGUGACGAACUGGCACUUCCUCAUCUCUAAAAGCAGGGCCCUGAACUAGAAGACCGCCACGUCACAUGAUGAAAAACACUCAAACUAACACUUCUUACCCUUGUGAGCAGCCCUACUAGCAGAUUUAAUGUGGGAGGAGGUUCACACUACGGGAUAAAAAUCAAGUUUUAGGAUUCCAUUUUAUCUAAGCUGACCACCACAAGGCAGAGGAUCAAGACUUAGCUAAAUACAGCCCUCAGGCAAGCUUCACUUCCCCAUCUGUGAAGGGAGAAUAAAUACACAUGUUAAGAUAAAUGAGAGAGCUGGUCAAGUGUUUCGAGCUCUUUGGCAGACAAGCCUGACUUUCCAAAAAAAGACAAACCACAACUUCGGAGCCAGUGCUAUUUCUUCUGUGCAUGGUGAGGUGACUUCCCCAGUUGUAAAGGAUUUAGAGCUGAAAUUCCAUAUUGUCUGGAGCUAUAAUUACAAGUCUCUUGCACUAAAACAGAGGUCAGCUGGCCUAAAGCAUGCUGAAAGAAGGUAAAUGUCUGGUCACAUUUCCAUGUGGUAUACUCCUUUCCUAACUUUUUGGCACAAAUUUCAUGUUGAUAGAACAUUCAUUCACUCCACAAAUAUCUGGCAAGUAGGUGCUGAGUGCUGUGUAUAGACGAGUGAACACAACACAGACCCUGCCCUCAUUCUGUGUAGAGGACAGCAGAGGAGUAGGCACAGGGCUCUCAGCUAGGGCAGUACCACCCUAUGUCUGGGGGGCAUUUCGGACAUUUGGGAGGUGCUGUCAAUUGCCAAAAUGAAUGGGGAAACUCUGCUAGCAUUUAAGGGUGGGAGCCGUGGUGCCACAAUGACCUGUAUGAGGAAAACCAGCUCCAGGCCCGCAUGACUAGUGAGUGUACUGCUAGACAUUCAUAAACAUGAAAAACUCUUUUGUGGGAAAACAGCCUGUUGCAUAGCAAGAGUGAUCCAUCUUGAAGUAAAACUGCCAUGAUGACCAAUGUUUGACGCCUACAAUUCAAGGUGGUCCAGUAGCACAGAUAAGCCCUCACAACCUCCCCGUGGUCAUGAGUUUCUAAAGGAAGUCAGGGAUGAUGAGCUUCCUGUGUCUUUACCCUAAAAGCUUGCUAUAUAAAGGAUACUUUCUGGAGGUUGGUUGUGAGAAUCCACCAUCUCUUGGCCUACCUAGACAUCGUUUCUGUUUCUAAGUCUCUAUUAAAUAUUUCUUUCUGAGAA
rnacentral:lncRNA from 1 species